GUAAGUUUUUAAUUUAAAAAAUAAUUAAGCUUUUUUUUUACCCUAUAAAAAAACAUGUAGAUUGAUUUGUUGGUGACUUGCCAUAUCUGUCACUUUGAAAUCCAUCCUUUGUCUUUGGCGAGCUGGGGUAUGUGGCUGUCCUUGCCCAAGGGAUCCUGAUUGAUCUUCUCUGGUGGCAACAGGGCUCAGCCCCCUCCUUCCUGCAGGAUAAAGAAAACCUUGGAAGAGAGGUAAGAUCAGGAAGGCCCUGGAGGCCAGCUGUUUUCCCACAGUCUUUUCCUCAGUCUCUGACCCAGAGUGAAACUGGCCCUACUCUGGAAUCCUCUCUGAUCUCUACACCUAGUGUUCCAGAAUUGUUUUCCAAACAAAGAACAGACCACAUAAAGUCUGUGACCCCAGGUUUAUUAAUACUGAAGAGACAAGUAAAGGGAAACCAGGUCAUCUGUGGCAUUCUGUGAACAAAAUAUUUUGUAGAGAAAGCUAUGUCUUGUAUGAGAAGGUAGAUAGUGAGGAAGGGGGCAAAUUCCUUGUGAUGUUUUUCUUACUCUAUUCCUUUUGGAAACUCUCUCAACCUGCAGGCAGUGACAAGGUUGAUGGCAAAAAGACCUCUAAGGAUUUCAGAAUAAAUACUUAGACACCAACUUAGAAUACGUAGAACUUUCUAGAAGGUCUGAAUGAAUACACCCUCCCCUACUUGAAACUUCAGGACAGCUGGCAGCUUAGGCCUUUUGUCCUCUAUCUGUGUCCAGCUAUUAGAGUUGUGCUGUGAUGUUAUUGAAUUGAAUCAAGAACCCAGGUGUGCUACCUCUUUCAGCCCAUGUCAUCUUAAAGGUCCAAGAUCUACAGGCUAGUUGGAACAGAUGAGUAGAGGAAGAAGGAAAGAAUAUUUAUUGUUUUGACUCCAAAAUAUGGUGGCAAAACUUUGCAAAAUACAGAAGGUUAAAAGAUUGCCACAAUAUCUUGACAGUUUCGUUGUGGUUUGUUUUACAUACCACUGCAUGUUGUAUGUAGACAGAUUCAUAUUUAUGAGAAGCAGAGAAUGGCCCACCCUGACUCCUCACCUUGAUCUUAUCACACAGCAUCUGACAAAUGAAACAACAGGAAGUUUUGCUGGAAGCUGUUGCUGGCUGGGGUUAAAUGCAAGCAGUGAGUGGUCUAGAAAUGUUAUAAUACUUGGCAUUGACCAAUAUUGCCACCACGGUGUGGUAAAUUCCAGAAUAAAAUUAGGACACAUAUAUAUCAAAAGUAAACCUCUGGGUUUGGGUUUUUCUCUUACUCUAUUCCUGGGAAAGUGUCCCUGGUCUGAAACGGUACAUUGUAUUCCAGCUUAUAAUAUUCAGGUGUACAACCAAAUCCUUCUGCAAAGAGGGGGGGAUAAUGGAGUACAAUGUAGUCAUGGUUU